GUGCUCACUUCAGCAAAAGAUGUACUAAAAUUGGAACAAUCCAAAGAAGGUUAGCAAGGUCCCUGUACAAAGAUGACACAUAAUUCAUGAAGAAUUCCAUUUUUUU
ensembl:snRNA U6 U6 spliceosomal RNA